AUCGCUUCUCGGCCUUUUGGCUAAGAUCAAGUGUAGUAUCUGAUAUUGUGUAGCAAUCUUAGGCCAUUUACUGGCAUUGUGAAUCACAGAUACAAGGCACAAUAUACAUUAA
rnacentral:snRNA from 1 species